rnacentral:lncRNA from 1 species
CUUAGCCUGUUUGGGCCUGCCACGUUGUGUGGGAGGGGUUGAGAUUGUAGGUGACGAGAUACAUGGCUAGAGACAGACUCCGUGGACUUAGUUGGCGAGCCCUAUUGGUUCUUCAUCGGUGGUCGGAUUUCUUCAGCUUAUGUUAUUUUAUUUUGGCACAUUAUUGUUCAAUGCCUUAUAGUUUAUGUAUUCAGAUUUAAAUCAUUAGAGGCUCAUGACUUAGUUUAGUGUGUAACUCAAUUAUCAGAUAAUUGAUUUAAUGUAGUUUUAGUUAUUUUGAUUUGUUGCACUUAAUGAUAUUUAUGGUAUUUACACUCGGUACAGAUUAAUUACAGGUUCACUCGAUGACCAGUUAGAGUUGGGUGCCAAUCACAUCCCACCCAAGCUUGGGGGCGUAACAAGUUGGUAUCAGAGCUACUCUUGUGUCAGCCUUGACGAUGGUAGGUUAGAGUUCAACUGAGUUUAGGUAAAUCCCGGUUAGGUGGGGCAAACCUCAGUGCUGAGUCUAGGCGAAUCCCAUGCGGUGGAGCAAACCUCAGCGUGGAUGUUGAGUCCAUAAAAGGGGGUGUAUAACAUCCCAAACUUUAGACAGAGUUCCACAUCGGCAAAAUACAAGAGGGAUGCUGGGUAUAUAAGUUAACAAGCCUUAAACUCUAGUGGCGCAUUUUAAACCCGUGAUGGGCCUAGGCCUGGAGCGGACAAUAUCACUGGCGUGCUGGGAUGUUAUAGAUGGAUAUUGAUUAUCACAAAUCAUGAUGUACUUUCUACUUUCUUGAAAUGAUAAUCAGAAACAACUACUACAUGCUACAUGUGUAUGUUAACUCUACCAAAGUUUCUAGAAAUUUUGAGAGUUAGCCAAAGUUUGAGUUUAAAAAAAAAUGGAAGUAUGGCACAAGGCCUUAGGUUCCUAUUUUAGAUCAUGUACGAGUUGGGCUUGACAAUCGAGGAUGAAUGUCCCUAGAGUGGGGGAAAAUAUGAAGUCCCGAGCUAAUUGAACACUCCUAAAAGCCUUGAAUUAACACUCGUCCGAUGAUGAUUAUAGGGGAUUAAAUUUCUAUGUCCCAAGACGAUAUGGAUGCACAAGUAAGUGUUAGGAGGCCAUUUGGAACUCAGUUGAAUGGACGGAAUAACUUUUAAGUUGCAAAUCCAUGCUUGAUUUUGUCUAAGAGAAGUAUACAAUGUAUGUGUACAUUUCUCUCCUAAUAUCAAUGGUGGCAGCCACUUUGUGUCUUAAACAAUUGGAUUUUUGAUAUUAUUAUAUACAGAAAGGAAAAUGGGACAAUUCCUAGUAAGGUUAAGGAUGCAAGUUUGGUGAAGGUCAUGGUAUAAAACCUUAUUAAUGGAGGCUAAGCCUCUGCUUGGUCGUUUUAAAGAGACCCACGCAGCAUAUUCUUCAGUUUUCCAAUAAUGCUGCGACGACAAUGCUUAGAAGGAUUUUAAUGAGUGAGACAACGUAUAUUUGCGCUUAUGCAAUGAGAGAAUUUAGAACUUUUGUGAUGGUUUAAGAUUUAGUUUGCAAUAGAAAACAAGAGCUAAAGCUUUGAUAUUAUAUUAGUCAUGUGGCAGCUAAUUUCAUAGGGGAGCAAGUAAAUGACCAAGGGACUAAAGCAAUCAGACUCUAGAAUAAUCAUGAUGCGAUAUUCGAGGACGAAUGAUCUCAAACGGGGAGAAUGUUAUGCCCCAUAAGUUUACAUGAUUAAAUUUUUGAUAAUUACAAACUUAAUGAUGUAAUUUAAUUGAUCCGUAGGUGGAUACAGACCUCCAUGAGGACGAGAAUAUAUUGGGAUGUGGUAACAUAUACGAGAUCUCAGGUGUGGAGUUAAAUUGGAGUAUUAAUUAAAACGGCUGGUGGGCAUACUGCAAAUUUUUGGUUGGAUAAUUAUGUGAAAUUGAUUAAUAUUAAAGGUGAAAGAAAAGGGUCCAUGGCCCAACCCAAUUUCUGGAUCACAAUAUGAAAAGUUAAGGCAAUAGAACAUUGCCUUUUAUAGGAAAAUACCCUAAGUUGCCGCAGCUACCCGGUUGAGUAAGGGAAGCUUUCUGCAACUCAAGGAAUACCAAAUACUUACAAUUCUUCUUUUAGGAUUUAAAUAUGGGAGCUUCAUAAAGGGAAUUAGGGAUGGAGUUUUGGCAGCAAACCUUGUGCUUUAGUUCAUUAUGAAAGAAGCAAUUAUAACUCCAUCAAAAGAAAAUGAUCGAAGCAAUUGCAAAGGGUAUUUUGGGGUUAAUCUAUGGUGGCAUUAAGAGGAAAUAUAGCUGGUAUUGUAUUCAUACCAGUGGAAUAAUUUGUUUAGAGAUGUUAUCGGAGGAAGAGGCACCUACUCCGGUCAACAAAAGAGGAUAAGAGAAAUCUUUCAGUAUUAGCCGCAAUUAUAAGCAUUGACAUCGUGAAUAACAUAUCAGAUGACUUGGUGAGCAGCGAGUUUGAGCUGGGUAGCUUUGAGGUAAGUUGUAAGGAUUACUCUCCUAAUAGGAAUUCCAUUAGAGCGAACAUGCUUCAAUGUAUUCGAUGAAAUUUCUAAGCCAUAUCUGUUUAUUUUCAGGUACUUAGUUUACUCUAUUCUUAUUUAGUAUGACUUUAAAUACAAUGUGUCAGUCUUAUAUAUGCUUAUAUGUAUUAUUAUUUGCUGUGUGCCUUUGGUUGUGAUAUUUAUAUUUGUUUCAACACUCAUUUAUGCGUUAAUGUGAUCACAUUCAGAAGAGAGAGCUAGCCGACCUCCCCUUGCGUGAGUGCUUUGAUGCCAGGGUUAGCUAUCCCACGCUCGUAGGGGCAAUUAUGUGCUGGGGAGAUAGGUCGACACUCCCCCGUACGUGUUGCUAGAUCUCACGUACGUAGGGCCACUAUGUAUAACUAUUUUCCAGAAAUGUUAUUUCUUUGAAACUUACUUAGUUUCCAGCUUCACUUUCAUGAGUUAAUAGUUAUAAACUCAGUUUCCAUGUUUUCAGUUAUCAACUUACAAUUUUGCUUAUAGUUUCAGUUUCUAGCUCAUUUAUUGUUUACAGAAUUUAUUGCCAUGAUAUUAUCUGAACCCCCUUCCUUUCAUUUUAUGAUUUUCCCAGAAAAUCUUGCUCUAUCUUUUAGGGGUAGCCACUGAGAUUUACUGGGUAUCCUUUGGUGGUACUUAGCCUGAUUGGGCCUGCCACGUUGUGUGGCAGGUGUUGAGAUUGUAGGUGACGAGAUACGUGGCUAGAGACAGACUCCGUAGACUCAGUUGGCGAGCCCUGUUAGUUUUUCAUUGGUGGUCGGAUUUCUUCAGCUUAUGUUAUUUUUUUUGGCACAUUAUUUAUUCAAUGCGUUAUAGUUAAUGUAUUCAAAUUUAAAUCAUUAGAGGCUCAUGACUUAGUUUAGUGAGUUAUGGUUCAGAGCUCAACUGUGUUAGAAUCAUGUAACUUAGUUAUCAGAUAAUUGAUUUAAUGUAGUUUUAGUUAUUUAAAUUUGUUGCACUUAAUGAUAUUUAUGGUAUUUACACUCGACAGGGAUUAAUUACGGGUUCUCUCGACGACCAGUUAGAAUUGGGUGCCAAUCACAUUCCACUAAGUUUGGGGGCGUGACACAUUUAGUCUCCAUCUCACUCAAAAAGAUCUUUUUUACUCGCUCAAGACUCAUAUCUUAAGAUGGCUCUGAAAUCAAUUAUUGAUUUUUUAAAAAAGUUGAGAGUAUACAUGAAAUAACAAAGGAAAACAAAAGAAUUGACAGAAGUGCACACGUAGAUACAUCC